GACGAACGCUGGCGGCGUGCCUAAUACAUGCAAGUCGAGCGAGUCUGCCUUGAAGAUCGGAGUGCUUGCACUCUGUGAAACAAGAUACAGGCUAGCGGCGGACGGGUGAGUAACACGUGGGUAACCUGCCCAAGAGAUCGGGAUAACACCUGGAAACAGAUGCUAAUACCGGAUAACAACAGAUGAUGCCUAUCAACUGUUUAAAAGAUGGUUCUGCUAUCACUCUUGGAUGGACCUGCGGUGCGUUAGCUAGUUGGUAGGGUAACGGCCUACCAAGGCGAUGAUGCAUAGCCGAGUUGAGAGACUGAUCGGCCACAUUGGGACUGAGACACGGCCCAAACUCCUACGGGAGGCAGCAGUAGGGAAUCUUCCACAAUGGACGCAAGUCUGAUGAAGCAACGCCGCGUGAGUGAAGAAGGGUUUCGGCUCGUAAAGCUCUGUUGUUGGUGAAGAAGGACAGGGGUAGUAACUGACCUUUGUUUGACGGUAAUCAAUUAGAAAGUCACGGCUAACUACGUG
rnacentral:rRNA from 1 species